rnacentral:rRNA from 1 species
AUUGAACGCUGGCGGCAUGCCUUACACAUGCAAGUCGAACGGCAGCGGACCUUCGGGUGCCGGCGAGUGGCGAACGGGUGAGUAAUAUAUCGGAACGUACCUUUCAGUGGGGGAUAACGUAGCGAAAGUUACGCUAAUACCGCAUAUUCUGUGAGCAGGAAAGCAGGGGGAUCGCAAGACCUUGCGCUGAUUGAGCGGCCGAUAUCAGAUUAGCUAGUUGGUGAGGUAAAGGCUCACCAAGGCGACGAUCUGUAGCGGGUCUGAGAGGAUGAUCCGCCACACUGGAACUGAGACACGGUCCAGACUCCUACGGGAGGCAGCAGUGGGGAAUUUUGGACAAUGGGCGCAAGCCUGAUCCAGCCAUGCCGCGUGAGUGAAGAAGGCCUUCGGGUUGUAAAGCUCUUUCGGCCGGGAAGAAAUCGCACGGGUUAAUACCCUGUGUGGAUGACGGUACUGGAAUAAGAAGCACCGGCUAACUACGUG